GAUUGAACGCUGGCGGCAUGCCUUACACAUGCAAGUCGAACGGCAGCACGGGUGCUUGCACCUGGUGGCGAGUGGCGAACGGGUGAGUAAUACAUCGGAACAUGUCCUGUAGUGGGGGAUAGCCCGGCGAAAGCCGGAUUAAUACCGCAUACGAUCUACGGAUGAAAGCGGGGGACCUUCGGGCCUCGCGCUAUAGGGUUGGCCGAUGGCUGAUUAGCUAGUUGGUGGGGUAAAGGCCUACCAAGGCGACGAUCAGUAGCUGGUCUGAGAGGACGACCAGCCACACUGGGACUGAGACACGGUCCAGACUCCUACGGGAGGCAGCAGUGGGGAAUUUUGGACAAUGGGCGAAAGCCUGAUCCAGCAAUGCCGCGUGUGUGAAGAAGGCCUUCGGGUUGUAAAGCACUUUUGUCCGGAAAGAAAUCCUUGGCUCUAAUACAGUCGGGGGAUGACGGUACCGGAAGAAUAAGCACCGGCUAACUACGUGCCAGCAGCCGCGGUAAUACGUAGGGUGCGAGCGUUAAUCGGAAUUACUGGGCGUAAAGCGUGCGCAGGCGGUUUGCUAAGACCGAUGUGAAAUCCCCGGGCUCAACCUGGGAACUGCAUUGGUGACUGGCAGGCUAGAGUAUGGCAGAGGGGGGUAGAAUUCCACGUGUAGCAGUGAAAUGCGUAGAGAUGUGGAGGAAUACCGAUGGCGAAGGCAGCCCCCUGGGCCAAUACUGACGCUCAUGCACGAAAGCGUGGGGAGCAAACAGGAUUAGAUACCCUGGUAGUCCACGCCCUAAACGAUGUCAACUAGUUGUUGGGGAUUCAUUUCCUUAGUAACGUAGCUAACGCGUGAAGUUGACCGCCUGGGGAGUACGGUCGCAAGAUUAAAACUCAAAGGAAUUGACGGGGACCCGCACAAGCGGUGGAUGAUGUGGAUUAAUUCGAUGCAACGCGAAAAACCUUACCUACCCUUGACAUGGUCGGAAUCCCGCUGAGAGGUGGGAGUGCUCGAAAGAGAACCGGCGCACAGGUGCUGCAUGGCUGUCGUCAGCUCGUGUCGUGAGAUGUUGGGUUAAGUCCCGCAACGAGCGCAACCCUUGUCCUUAGUUGCUACGCAAGAGCACUCUAAGGAGACUGCCGGUGACAAACCGGAGGAAGGUGGGGAUGACGUCAAGUCCUCAUGGCCCUUAUGGGUAGGGCUUCACACGUCAUACAAUGGUCGGAACAGAGGGUUGCCAACCCGCGAGGGGGAGCUAAUCCCAGAAAACCGAUCGUAGUCCGGAUUGCACUCUGCAACUCGAGUGCAUGAAGCUGGAAUCGCUAGUAAUCGCGGAUCAGCAUGCCGCGGUGAAUACGUUCCCGGGUCUUGUACACACCGCCCGU
rnacentral:rRNA from 1 species